rnacentral:tRNA from 2 species
ACGACUGUAGCUCAGUUGGUUAGAGCGCCACCUUGACAUGGUGGAGGUCGGUGGUUCGAAUCCACUCAGUCGUACCA